CCUCCCCCUUCCUUGUCUUUGCACUGUUCUGUUCACCUCCCUCCUCCCCCUUCCUUGUCUUUGCACUGUUCUGUUCACCUCCCUCCUCCCCCUUCCUUGUCUUUGUGGAGAAAACAGAUCAACAACUGGGCUCAUGCAGAACAGACCACAGUCGUUGAGUAGGAAUGCCUGUUUGGGCCAAUGCAUCAAUAUGUGGAGAAACGCUGGGACAUUUUUUCUGUUAGAAAGAGUCAAGGAGACGAGGAGGAUCUACUCUGUGUUUUAUUAAUGUGCGGGUCAAUGGAAUGCAACGAUGGCCAGAGAGUGCAUACAUACAAUACGGUUAGACACUGUGGUGAUGCUGUGCUUUGGAGAAGAACACAGCCCCUAAUUUUCAUCUUGAUGUUCAUGUAGAGGGCCUUUAUGGCAAUGUAAUCAGGUUAGGGUGGGUCGUGGAAUGGUUUGAUGUAUUGAAAUCUAUGCUCUACAUCAGACAGCAACUUUUCUAGAAUACUGACUAUAAAAAUAGUCAAAUUAAAUUGAGUACUGUCACCUUUUUAAUUCCACUUCAAGCACUGUUAAAGCUGUUAUUAAACUUCUACUUUCGAUAAAUGCCUUGUCAUUUCAUUUGACUCUUAAAGUGCUUUUUUUGUUCUCAAAAUUGUGGGUAGAUGCUGCUGUUCUUUUUACAUCGGACUGAAUAUUCUCUACAAUAAUUGGCUCAAUAAUUGGCUCAUACCAGUAUUAUAGAACACACAUGCCAGGGGUGGUUCAUGCCGUUCAAGAUUAGGGAGGCCGAUUAUUAUUAUUUUUCAUGAGCAUGGCCUUUCUAUUAAAUUCACCCGACUCAAUGUAACAUUGAUAGGUUUAGGCUACUACAUGAUACUCUAAUUUUCCCUUUACCCAUCAUGAGGUUGCUACAACCUACCCUACAAAUGAAAUUAUAUAAUGUAGUUUUUAACAGGUCGAAUGACAAAUUGGAGUAAUCAAGGUGACACAGUGACACAUUCAAUACCACUUUGCACACUACUGCCUGCAUCUAGCUGAUCUGGGGUGUAAUCAUUAGUCCAAACAGUUGCAAAACUGUUGCAACUAAAACUAGUUUCUAUUGGACAAACUAAGAUAGCUCCCUCCCUGUUUCGUUCGUUUUGCUUCCGUUUAAGAAAUAUUUUCAAACAGAAUUGGCGGAAUGAAUACACCCCUGAUCAUCGCACACACAGUUCACCUUCAUAGCAGCCACAGCAUCAUAACUUGGCUUGUUGUAUAAUUCCUUCUCGCAUCUACGUGCUCUCCUCUUCUCACUUUUCCCCUUCGCGUGUGGACUUCAGUGCACAACACAAUAGCUGUCUGUGACCAGGCACAAAAACCUCUCCAAGCCAAACCUUCAUACCAUGACCGCUAACCAAUAUAUACAGCCUACACCGUUGUCACCAUAUUAACGUUAUAGUGAUGAAACUAGAACUUAGAAUGUGUAAGUAAACUACAUAUCUAUGGGUACAAUCACACAGGACAGUGUACAGCAAGCAGUUUAGCAGUUACACUGGCAGGCCCCUGUGGCAAUAAAUUUAUAAAACCAAAUGUUUACCUUGACUUGGAAGAGUUGCAGUGUUGGAUAGCCUUAGCCCAAAUCAAAAUCAAAUGUUAUUUGUCACAUACACAUGGUUAGCAGAUGUUAAUGCGAGUGUAGCGAAAUGCUACACUACCUAACAUAAAUAGUGUUCCUCUCUGCUUGAGUCAGGUUGUUGAGUAGGCUAAAUAAGCUGCAUUAGCUGGCUCUCUGGCUCUCUCACUGCUUCUCCUUCAUUACAUGUUUUGUUGUUGUUGUUCAAAACUGUUCAACUAUUGUCUUUGAGUCAACUACUCACCACAUUCUAUACACUGCAGUGCUAGCUAGCUGUAGCUUAUGCUUUCAGUACUAGAUUAACUCUCUGAUCCUUUGAUUGGAUGGACAACAUGUCAGUUCAUGCUGUAAGAGCUCUGAUAGUUUGGAGGACAUCCUCCAGAAGUUGACAUAAUUACUGUAAGUCUAUGGAAGUGGGUGAGAACCACGAGCCUCCUAGGUUUUGUAUUGAAGUCAAUGUACCCAGAGGAGGAUGGAAAAUAGCUGUCCUCUGGCUACUCCAUGGUGCUACGCUAGAGGGUGUUGUUGAGCCUACGGUAGACCUUCAUUGCAAAAGUGUGUUUAAAUCAGAUAUUUGGUGGGGUGAAUAUAUUUAGUAUAGUUUUAUCUAAAAAGGAUAACUUUAAAUGUUUCACUUUUUUUUUCUCUGAAAUUCUCUGAGUAGGAUGGUCCUCCCCUUCCUCCUCUGAGAAGUCUUCACACACACACAGCAAGAGGGGGAUGGAGAGAGCAAGAAAGAGAGUAUAGGAUGGUGUAUAAGUAGACAUUUAAGAUAAGACAAAGCAUGUGUGUGGACUGAGAACAGAUGGUUGUUUGAUGUAAACAACAGGACCGUGACUGCUGUGGACCCAUGUGUCUUUAGUCCUCAGCUCUGUAUCUGCUUAGUCAUCCUCACAGGCUGCAUACACACAGAAACCAUUCAAACAGUCCAAAGUCAUUCACCAAUAUGCUUUCAAAGCCAUCCCACUGGGCUCAUAUGUCAAUUCAACAUCUAUUACACGUUGUUUCAACGUAACUUAGUUAAAAUGACAUGGAAACAAUAUUGAUUCAACCAGUGUGUGCCUAGUGGGAUGGCUCAACCUCUGAUAAACUAGGUGACAUUUAGAGACCCCCUUUCUGUUUCAUUAUUGUGCCAUUAUUUCAAAGUACUUUUUAAGGUAUUGGUAUUAUAUUGUACUUAAAGUCAAACAGUAAUCUCAACUCUAAAGUUAUCUUCGUGUCCACACCCCGGCUCAACACAAACCCUAGCCAUAACCCUAACCCCAAUCAUUAGGAUUUGUUAAAAAUACAACACUGAUCCUGGAGCAAUUCCAAGGCCUAACCUCCUAUGUUCUCCAGUCAUGUGCUACAGUGAUAGUAUUGUAUUGUCACACCUCAGAACUGCAAUUAAAAACUGGGCUGGAAUCUAUCUGUUCGUUUAUCAAUAGAUUGAUUAUGUGACAGUUCGUCUCACUCCAGGGACAUUAGGAUAGCUAGAUUAAUCUCACUGUCAGACGUCUAUAAGGAAGAUAUAUGAUGAUUACACACCACAGAACGGAGGGGGAAUAACAGUGGAGGUGCAAUGAGGUAAUCACACAGAAAUACAAUUAAUAGAGCUGACAUUCCCAUCCAAACCAAUGUUACGUGGUGUAUACACUGCCAGCCAUCUUUGCUGUAAUGCUUUAAAAUGAUGGCUCACAAUGCUUUGUCCUUCUCAGUGUUACAAAUACACAAGUGGCUAAUUCUAUUGUCCCACUAUAUUAGAUGGACCAUGAACAACACAAAUGUGUCUGUCCCCGGUAGAACACUUUUUGGUUCCAGGUAGAACUCUUUUGGGUUCCAUGUAGAACCCUUUGUGGAAAGGGUUCUACCUGGAACCAAGGGUUCUACUAUAGGGACAGCCAAAUGACUGUUUUAGGUUCUAGAUAGCACCUUUCAUUUGUUCUAAUUAUUACACUUCUAUGCAUAACCACCUCCACCACGGGUAUAUGAUGGUGUGGGGCCCGCUUGAUGAUGUAAAAUAAGGCUCCCACAUGCCAGAUAUAAGCUGCCUUCUAUCCUUAAACUUCCCCUCCUAGCUCUGCUCCACCCACUCACUAGGGCCUAUGCUGCUUCCGUGAGACCCGAGCAGAAACAAACGGCUGACUCAUGCCAAUUUCUUUUCUCCCUGCUACAGUAGAGAACAGGCCGAGGACGGGAGCCUGCUGGGUUGUGGUCUCCUCAGUAGUCUUACUGGCACACAAAACAGUAACUGGAUACACAGACAUUUUUGUGCCGACUCCAAGCUUGUCUUCUUGCCAUAAUUUUGGAUUAGUUAAACAUGGAUACAUGUUGUAAAACAGUGCAGUGCAUUGUUAGAGAGGAGAACAUAUAAUGAACAUACUGUGCAAUGAGCAUAUUAUACAGUAUAAUGAACGAUGGUGAUGUUGAUUUUGACAGUUAUUUACAUGUUAUUCAUUCAUUGGGGCGGCAGGGUAGCCUGGUGGUUAGAGCAUUGGAAUAGAAACCGAACGGUUGCAAGUUCGAAUCCCCGAGCUGACAAGGUACAAAUCUGUCGUUCUGCCCCUGAACAGGCAGUUAACCCACUGUUCCUAGGCCGUCAUUGAAAAUAAGAAUUGUUCUUAACUGACUUGCCUAGUUAAAUAAAAAUUGCACCCAUACUGCUCACGAGCGUCUGCGAAGCCAGGCGCAAAAUAGAACUUGAUUCUAUUGGUGACGCUCAAUGCGCUGCAAGUCCUGCCUCUCCCAUUUCCUCAUUGGUUUUUAGUGUUGGGACGCGGUGUUGCCCCCACAAUAGUAUGGCAUUGGUUGAAGCUCAAUGUUAAAUUCAAAUCUCCCUACAACAUGUUACACAAUUCAAUAUCAUUACAUAUUAGCAGAAUCUUUAUUAAUACAACUAACCGAAAAGACAGGCUAAGAAUGGACAGAGAGAGAUAGGUCUAUGUGCUCAUCUUAUAAUAUCUAUCCAAUGCCAAAUCAGUGGAACUUGUUUGCAACAAUUGGCAAAUAAUUAAAUCUGAGAUGUCAUUAGGAAUCUGAGCAUGGUACUUUCAAAAGUUAGGCCUACCUUUCCACCCCAGACGGAAUAGACUUACCUUUCCCCCCAGACAGUAGGCAUACCUUUCUACCCCAGACAGAAUAGACUUACCUUCCC
rnacentral:lncRNA from 13 species